GAGGGUAGCGAAGCCGCGAGGUGGAGCCAAUCCCAGAAAGUGCGUCCCAGUUCGGAUUGGAGUCUGGAACUCGACUCCAUGAAGGCGGAAUCGCUAGUAAUCGCGCAUCAGCCAUGGCGCGGUGAAUACGUUCCCGGACCUUGUACACACCGCCCGUCAAACCAUGGGAGCUGGGGGUGCCUGAAGACGGUGGCCAUAGAGGAACUGUCUAGGGUAAAAUCAGUA
rnacentral:rRNA from 15 species